GAAGCCUUGGACAGAGAUGGAGACUUUGAAAAAGUCUGAUGUUUUUUAGUUUCUACAUGUUUUUAUUUGAUGCGGAAAGGAAACUGCGUAUCCUCUGCACUGGUGGGAUGACUCACCUGAACAGGUUGAGGGUUUUGUGUUCCAGCAUUAGGCUGCUGUUCCCGCUCAGGUCGAGUUCCUGCAAAGUGGCUGGGACCGAAUCAGGCAGCAGUAUUUCAUGAUUGGGGGGAGCAUUUAAGGAGGAGCGUGAGGAUGUGUGUGUGUCUGUGUGUGUGUGUGUGUGUGUGUGUGUGUGUGUGUGUGUGUGUGUGUGUGUGCGGAGAACGAGUGACUGAGGCACUGAGCACAGAGCAAAUAUAUAAAAUAAAGAAAUUUGUGUUGAUUCUGAAACUGUCCUGUUGUGGCGUUCCUUUUCUCGACCCAUACGCUCUUCCACAAUAAGUAUCAUUAUUGUUGGGUAGCUAAUUAUUUUAUCAAUAGCACAUAUAAUAAGUAAUAUUACAAGCUUUAACAUACAGAUAGUAUAAAUCCCCAUGUAUGUGCUCCAGAACAUCUGAUCACAUGCACAUUAUCAAUUUGUGCUGGUAAUAUCAUGAACAGCAGCUACGCUAAUUGCUCUCCACUGCUUCUCUUUCUCCCCCCAUCCCGA